UACGAAGGGGGCUAGCGGUGCUCGGAAUUACUGGGUGUAAAGCGCACGUAGGCGGACUUUUAGGUCGGGGGUGAAAUCCUGGAGCUCAACUCCAGAACUGCCUUCGAAACUGAAAGCCUUGAGUUCGGGAGAGGUGAGUGGAACUGCGAGUGUAGAGGUGAAAUUCGUAGAUAUUCGCAAGAACACCAGUGGCGAAGGCGGCUCACUGGCCCGAUACUGACGCUGAGGUGCGAAAGCGUGGGGAGCAAACAGG
rnacentral:rRNA from 1 species